UCGGCCUUAUGCCUGGUGUUUUGUUCCACUCUUGCCGCCCUAGUUUCCGUCAUACCGGUGUUAUCUUCCUUGAUUUUGCAUCCCUAACACGGUGAGGGUUUAUGGGCCCCGCUUGACAGUAAUGCGGUGAGCGUCUAUAUACUUGGUAAUGAUAUCCACCUUGCUAUGCGCUCGAAAUGCGGUUGUGCCCCAAUCAUGAAUUCAUCUCAUGAUUGGGAUAGAAUCGCAUCUUGGGUGCUACACAAGGUCCUAGAUACGGCAAGGUUGUGCACGCAAGAUUUACAAGUUCAGGCCCUUCUCGGAGGAAGUAAUAGCCCUAGUCUCAAUGCCCGGAGGCUUUGUCGACUAGAUUAUGCAUGAGAGUUACAGGGGGUGUGAACCCUUGUGCUAGAGGAGGGGUGGCUUAUAUAGAGUGUGCCAGCCCUCUCCAGUGCUCAGUUACACAGGUUUUAAUGUGGGUUAAUAUAGAGACGUUACUGAUAACGCCUGCUAUAAUGAUGAUUAAUGACCUUUAAGGCUAUGGAGUGAACACCUGACUGCUGCCAUCCAGAGGUGGCUUUAGAUCUUCUAUACUCCGAGUGGUUCUUCGUACGGUCGAGUGACUCUAUCUUGGUCGAGUGGAAUUGGGAUAUCUGAGUGAGAUAGCUGGUCGAGUGGAUUGCACUCCAAGGUGAUUUCAGUUGGUAUCUUCUAUUGUACUUUAAAUGAACUUGACUCUAGGGCAGUGUCCUUGGGUAGGGCGUCUAGGUCAGGCCUAUGACCCUACCCUAGGUACAUUUCAUCGUCAUUAUCCCUCGAAUGGAUUGAGGUCCGAGUGAAGAAGGGUUGAAGUUGGUCUCCGACUCGAUUCCAUGCUUCAGAUGCAUUUCACCGGAGUCUGGCAAUCAUGCUGAAGCUUCAACCUCAUUACAGUCACCUUGAUCAAUUCAGAGGUCGUCGAGUGAAUUAUGCUGAUAAUCUUCGCGGGCUAUUAUGGUGCGAAAUGUUCGACGUGAUUAGUUGCUCUAUGGUUCCCGAAUCUCACGGGAUUCGAAAUUUUGGAGAAGCGCGCGGGACGGAGCGUGCCGCAGUAAUCGGAGUGGGUAGACAGAGACGCCUUGAUCCUCGUGCUACCUUUUCGCCACGUAUCGGGAAAGCGACUGUUGCGGGUUACGAUAGGAUUACUUGGGCCCACACUAGGGUCUGUUUAAACACAUAUUUACUUGUCAUUCCCAGUUGGUGAAGAAGGCAAAUCUGAAUGACGAAAAGACACAUGUGAUCCAGAUGUGCGGGGGUUUAGGAAUUCAGACUAGGGGUAGAAGCACCUUUCCUUCCAUGACCCUUCCCGAGUCAGAUCGGGGAUGGCAGUCGACCUGGUUCUACUGCAAAGACAUCCCAACUCCUGGUCAGUCGACCGAUCUCCCCCUUUCACUAUGGAGCGACUUCGCCAAACUUCUUCAUUGACUGUGACCCCAGAGGAGAAAGGCGAGGUGUCUCUUUUAGUCGACCAGGUUAUUAACUUAGUCUAGGAGGGUGUGACGGGCAUGGAUCUGUUGGAGGUGUUCCUCAGUCGACGCAUCCAGCCUCUCCAAGCCCGAGAUCACCCGAUGUGGAUGUACCCGGGCCCUGAAGACACCGCUCGGGACCACCCAGAGGAGGUCGCCGAGGAGAUUGUGGCUCAGUGGCUGCGAAGCAUCACCGGAAACAAAGACAACCCCAGGGGGUCCAGGAGAGUUCAGCCAUUCGACAUCAACCAUGAGCCGGAAGAGAUUUAUACCAAGAUGUACUCGACGCUAAACGAGGAACAGCUCUAGGAGGGAGAGGAGAGCGCAGAUGAAAGCGCCGACUGGCAAUCCAGAGACGAUAGCGAAGAUGAGAGUGACGACUCGAGCAGCAGUGAGGAGGUUGACUCGCCGCCUCGCUCACAACAUCGUUCCAAACAAUCCCAAGAUCCUGCAGGUGGACGCGGCAAGGCAGUUCCACCAAGCACGCAAGUACCAAAGUGCACUCGGACUUCGACUCCAGAACCGUCGGAGAAGGCCGCUAAGAAGCCCAAGGUUGUCCCACCGAAGCCUCGGAAGGCCCUACCCAAGAUCAAGGUGGAUGUCCCUACUGCUUCUGUUGCUGCUACCUCUAGGACUUCCAUGGACAUUGACAAGGAGCACGAUGACACGGAAACUGCAGACGCAGCCACCUCUCAGGCAGCACCACAUGUUAUCCAACUUCCAAAUGAUGACGAUGAUGAAUAAGUGUCACGAAAGGAUACAGGGAGGAGGAGAAGAACUCUGAGCAAGAGGGUGCCUGCCAGCAAAGAAUCUCACUCGACAUCAGCAUCAGCCCCAGUCGAUCAACCACUUGGCGAUCCAGUCCAGACUUCUAUUUCUUUUGCUGUGCCUUUAUCGACUGACCAGCCCUUAGCGUCGACUGUCCAGGCUCUUACUCCGACUGUGCAAGUUCAAGCUUCACCUCCACCGGCUACGGCUCCACCGGCCACGUCAUUGAUUCCAUCAUCUCCUUUAUUUGUUACUCACCAUGUCCCAGAAGACCAAGUAGGAGCUACCAAGGACGCCAUGCUUCAAGCAGGUCUAAUGAUGGACCAACUGAAAGUGGUGUAUAACAACAGCAAGGCCGCCUAUGACGCUAGCUCCGCCCUCCAAGCCAAUCUCCGAAAAUCUUGUGAACUUGGGACCAAAUUUGCAUAUCUGGAGAAGAAGCAAAUCAAACUCAACCUCGAUCUGGAACUGGCCAAGAAGAAUCUGAAGAAAGCCCGGGAUGAAGCUACUGCCAUGGGAGAUGUGCGUAGUGAAAACCGUCAACUCCAAGCUCGAUUGAAGAAUGUUAUUUCUUUAGACAAAAUGAAGCAGGAUCUGGAGCAGAAGGGUCUUGACCUUGCAACGAUGUAGAAGACGGCGCGGGAGAAAACAGAACUUGCUGACAAGAAGCUGGCUUCAGUCAGAAAGUUGGAAGAAGAGAACGCCAAGUUGAAAACUGAUGUUGAUAAAGCGAAGAAGGACAUUGUGCAGCUGAAGGAGGAGAAGGUGGCCUUGGCGGACAGAGUUGAAGUUCUCACUCGGGAGAGAGAUGAACUGGAAACUUAUCUGGGGAGCCUUGCCAAGAAGAUGCUCCUCAUGC